GACGAACGCUGGCGGCGUGCUUAACACAUGCAAGUCGAACGGAAAGGCCCUGCUUUUGUGGGGUGCUCGAGUGGCGAACGGGUGAGUAACACGUGAGUAACCUGCCCUUGACUUUGGGAUAACUUCAGGAAACUGGGGCUAAUACCGGAUAGGAGCUCCUGCUGCAUGGUGGGGGUUGGAAAGUUUCGGCGGUGGGGGAUGGACUCGAGGCUUAUCAGCUUGUUGGUGGGGUAGUGGCUUACCAAGGCUUUGACGGGUAGCCGGCAUGAGAGGGUGACCGGCGACAUUGGGACUGAGAUACGGCCCAGACUCCUACGGGAGGCAGCAGUGGAGAAUAUUGCACAGUGGGCGGAAGCCAGAGGCAACAGCGCCGCGUGCGGGAUGACGGCCUUCGAGUUGUAAACCACUUUCGCCUGUGACGAAGCGUGAGUGACGGUAAUGGGUAAAGAAGCACCGGCUAACUACGUG
rnacentral:rRNA from 1 species